AGGAGUAUUACUUGUAUCAGCCUGUGAAGAGCAUCUGUGAAAUACCUACUCACCAUUUCUGGAGUCCUUUAUUGAUGACUUCCAUUCCUCAAUCUUGUUUCUUGAUGAAAACAGCAUAAACUUAACUUCUCAGAGCAAUCUGCUGAUUGGACCUUUAUGUUUGAAGCUCCAAGCUCAUGAAUAAUGAAUGCAUGAGCAAGAUAGAGAGCUAAGAGAGUGAGGAGGACUGGCAGACAAAGAAACAAGUCUCAAUGACCAAAGAGCCUGUGCAGGAAGCAGGCCCAUGCAGUGUAAGUGCUCCUAUGAAAUGUUCAAUUUCUUGAGAAAUCACUCAUCCACCAGGAACAUAGCACAGCAUUCUUGGUUAGUGGACACUUGAUAAACCAUUUGCAAUUUA
rnacentral:lncRNA from 1 species